rnacentral:rRNA from 1 species
GAUUAACGCUGGCGGCAUGCCUAAUACAUGCAAGUCGAACGGAAGCAGCAAUGCUUUAGUGGCGAACGGGUGAGUAACACGUAGGGAACCUACCUAUACGACGAGGAUAACUACUGGAAACGGUAGCUAAAACUGGAUAGGAUCAAUUGAGGCAUCUUGAUUGAUUUAAAGAUCCUUCGGGAUUACGUAGAGAUGGCCCUGCGGCGCAUUAGCUAGUUGGUGAGGUAACGGCCCACCAAGGCGACGAUGCGUAGCUGAGCUGAGAGGCUAAACAGCCACACUGGGACUGAGACACGGCCCAGACUCCUACGGGAGGCAGCAGUAGGGAAUUUUCGGCAAUGGGGGAAACCCUGACCGAGCAAUGCCGCGUGAACGAUGAAGGUCUUCGGAUUGUAAAGUUCUGUGAUUGGGGAAGAAUGGUAUUCUUAGGGAAUGAGGAGUACAUGACGGUACCCGAUUAGAAAGCCCCGGCUAACUAUGUGCCAGCAGCCGCGGUAAUUA